CAAUAAGCGGAGGAAAAGAAACCAACAGGGAUUGCCUCAGUAACGGCGAGUGAAGCGGCAACAGCUCAAAUUUGAAAUCUGGCUCCCCUUGGGGGUCCGAGUUGUAAUUUGGAGAGGAUGUUUCUGGCGCGGCGCCUACCGAGUUCCUUGGAACAGGACGCCACAGAGGGUGAGAGCCCCGUACGGUUGGCCGCCUAGCCUUCACCGAAACUCCUUCGACGAGUCGAGUAGUUUGGGAAUGCUGCUCAAAAUGGGAGGUAAAUUUCUUCUAAAGCUAAAUACCGGCCAGAGACCGAUAGCGCACAAGUAGAGUGAUCGAAAGAUGAAAAGCACCUUGAAAAGAGGGUUAAACAGUACGUGAAAUUGUUGAAAGGGAAGCGCCUGCGACCAGACUCGCGCCCCGCGGACCAACCGGCGUUCUCGCCGGUGCACUCCGCGGGGUGCGGGCCAGCAUCGGUUUUCCCUGGGGGAGAAAGGCUGCGGGAAUGUAGCUCCUUCGGGAGUGUUAUAGCCCGUGGCGCCAUGCCCCAGGGGGGACCGAGG
rnacentral:rRNA from 1 species